rnacentral:rRNA from 1 species
CCUACGGGGGCAGCAGUGGGGAAUAUUGGACAAUGGGCGAAAGCCUGAUCCAGCCAUGCCGCGUGUGUGAAGAAGGCCUUCGGGUUGUAAAGCACUUUCAGUGGGGAAGAAAGCCUUGGGGCUAAUACCCUCGAGGAAGGACAUCACCCACAGAAGAAGCACCGGCUAACUCCGUGCCAGCAGCCGCGGUAAUACGGAGGGUGCGAGCGUUAAUCGGAAUUACUGGGCGUAAAGCGCGCGUAGGCGGUCUGAUAAGCCGGUUGUGAAAGCCCCGGGCUCAACCUGGGAACGGCAUCCGGAACUGUCAGGCUAGAGUGCAGGAGAGGAAGGUAGAAUUCCCGGUGUAGCGGUGAAAUGCGUAGAGAUCGGGAGGAAUACCAGUGGCGAAGGCGGCCUUCUGGACUGACACUGACGCUGAGGUGCGAAAGCGUGGGUAGCAAACAGGAUAGAUACCCUGGUAGUC